rnacentral:rRNA from 1 species
AAUAGAUACCCAGGUAGUCCACGCCGUAAACGAUGAGUGCUAGGUGUUAGGGGGUCCAACCCCUUAGUGCUGAAGUUAACACAUUAAGCACUCCGCCUGGGGAGUACGACCGCAAGGUUGAAACUCAAAGGAAUUGACGGGGGCCCGCACAAGCAGUGGAGCAUGUGGUUUAAUUCGAAGCAACGCGAAGAACCUUACCAGGUCUUGACAUCCUCUGACAACCCUAGAGAUAGGGCGUUCCCCUUCGGGGGACAGAGUGACAGGUGGUGCAUGGUUGUCGUCAGCUCGCGUCGUGAGAUGUUGGGUUAAGUCCCGCAACGAGCGCAACCCUUGAUGUUAGUUGCCAGCAUUCAGUUGGGCACUCUAACGUGACUGCCGGUGACAAACCGGAGGAAGGUGGGGAUGACGUCAAAUCAUCAUGCCCCUUAUGACCUGGGCUACACACGUGCUACAAUGGGCGGUACAAAGGGCAGCGAAACCGCGAGGUGGAGCCAAUCCCAUAAAGCCGCUCUCAGUUCGGAUUGCAGGCUGCAACUCG